ACCACAAGAACAUCUAUCCUCAACUUACUAAAUCUAAGAGUACCUAAGAAGCUAAAAUAACUAAAAAGCUAGACCAUUCCAAAACUUCAAGGCAUCAAGACGUGAAGAAGAAGAUCCAGUCCAAGCUAGAAACAAUAGCUCACCCUGAAAUCUGACGUGAUGAAGACUGGCUAGAGUUGCGGUUGAGCUGAAGACGACGGUACGUUUGCUGCACUGCACAAUAACAAAGAGAAAACAUACAAGUAGGGGUCAGUACAAAACACAAGUACUGAGUAGAUAUCAUCGGCCAACUCAAAAUAGAAAGCAAUAUAUAUCAGAUAAUAUCAUAAAAUCAACUACAAUACUCAACAGGCAACAACACUAAGUACAAGAAUCAUUGAUAAAUAACGCCAAGUACACCCAUGAGGACUCAAGCCUCCAUACCAUACUCAUUUGGGAAAUAGGUUCAUUAAAUCUGAGUAUAUUAGCCUAAUUCAAGAUUCAUUCUCUUUACUAUCCUGUUGUCGGAACGUGACACCCGAUCCAUUAAUACUAUCCUGGUGUCAGAACGUGACACCCGAUCCAUUAAUACUAUCCUGGUGCCGGAACGUGACACCCGAUCCAUUAAUACUAUCCUGGUGUCGGAACGUGACACCCGAUCCACUAAUACUAUCCUGGUGUCGGAACGUGACACCCGAUCAAUUAAUACUAUCCUUGUGCCGGAACGUCACACCCGAUCCAUUAAUACUAUCCUGGUGUCGGAACGUGACACCCGAUCCACUAAUACUACCCUGGUGCCGGAACGUGACACCCGAUCCAUUAAUACUAUCCUGGUGCAGGAACGUGACACCCGAUCCACUAACCUCAUUAUUUUAGUUCAUCAAGCCUUCUUUUAUACCAAGGCAUCAUCAUUAACAAAGAGGUUUUUAAAGUUCAAGAUUCAACAGUCUCAUCAUGCUUAUUUUAUCACAAUCAUGAAAUCACAUCAUGCAAGCAUACAAUUAAGCAUAUAGAAGACUUUACAAUACUACCCAUACAUAUAAUUCGCUAUUAAGAGUUUACUAUGAAAUAGCAUAAACCAUAACCUACCUCCACCGAAGAAUUUGCGAUCAACCAAGCCAUCCCCCAAACCUUUGCUUUCCUCUUCGUUUCUCUCUUCUCUCGAUCGUUCUCCCUCUCUCUUUUUCUGAAUUUUCUUUAUUCAAACUCUUUUUUCCUUUACCCUAAUUAACAUAUAAUUAAGUAUAAAAAAUGACAAAAGUAACCCACUAAUUAUUCCAAGGUUGUCUCCUUUAACCCCCAAGAAAUUGAAUUAUUAACAUUAACCCACUAACUUUAUAAUUAUAAGCAGGAAUAGUCCAAAACGCCCCUUAAAACAUUUAACAGAAAUCCGACUCAGUCAGGGUUACGCAACCUGUGACGGUCCGUCGUGCCUGCGACGGUCCGUUCUGCUGUUUCUGUCACAAAGUUCAGAGACUAAAUUUUACUAAAGGGUCUGUGACGGUCCUUCGUGCCUACGACGGUCCAUCCUGCCAUGUCGUCGCGAAGUUCAGAGAGUUGUUCUCAGUACCCAAAUUUUUAGAAUCUAAGUGUUUUGGAACGAGACCCCCUCGACGGUCCGUCAAGCCCAUGACGGUCCGUUGUGGGAUCCGUCGACCCAGAUAGUUAUUACCAGAAUAAACUCUACUGCUCAAAAACGACUAAACAUACAAUAGAUACCAAUUUACCCAUCGUUCGUCCUCGAACGAUCACAAGAAGAAAAACAAGGGCGAAAAGGAGUACCUGAAUCUGAAAACAGGUGUGGGUAUCUUUCUUGCAUAUCAGCCUUCUUCUCCCAAGUGGACUCUUCAAUUGGUCGAUUCUUCCAAGUGGACUCUUGACCUCAACUUGCGGACUUCUCUAUCUAAAAUAGCAACAGGCUCCUCCUCAUAAGACAAAUUCUCAUCAAGAAGAACUGAAUCCCAACGAAUGAUGUAGUUUCCUUCCCCAUGGUAUCUUUUCAACAUAGACACAUGAAAUACCGGAUGCACUCCUGACAGUCCUGGGGGUAAGGCUAAUUCAUAAGCUACCUCCCCGCACGCUUCAGAACUUCAAAUGGAACAAUAUACCUCGGACUAAGCUUACCUCGCUUACCAAACCGCAUCACCCCUUUCAUGGGUGAAACCUUCAGCAAAACUUGCUCACCCUCCAUAAAUUCCAAGUCUCUAACCUUUCGAUCUGCAUAUUCUUUCUAUCUACUCUGAGCCGCUAAAAGCUUUUCUUAGAUGUAUUUCACUUUAUCUAACGAUUCCUUCAGAAGGUCAGUACCCCAAGGUCUAACCUCAAAGGCAUCAAACCACCCAAUGGGAGACCUACAUCUUCUCCCAUAUAUUGCCUCAAAUGGGGUCAUAUCAAUGCUUGAGUGAUAGCUAUUGUUGUAUGAGAACUCUGCUAAGGCUAAGAAGUUAUACCAAUGACCACCAAACUCUAUCACACAUGCACGAAGCAUAUCCUCCAAAACCUGAAUCGUUCGCUCAGACUGACCAUCGAUGUAAGGGUGAAAUGCAUUACUAAGAUCCAACCUAGUACCUAACUCGGCAUGCAAGGUUCUCCAAAACUUAGAAGUAAACUGCGUACCUCUAUCUGAUAUGAUGGAAAGAGGAACUCCAUGCAAUCGAACAAUUUCUGAGAUAUAAAGUUUGGCUAACUUGUGUGAAUUGUAAGUCACCUUGACCGGAAUGAAAUGAGCAGACUUAGUUAAUCUGUCGACGAUUACCCAAAUGGAGUCAUACUUACCCAUUGUCUUUGGAAGACCAACCACGAAGUCCAUUGCAAUUCUCUCCCACUUCCAUUCAGGAAUGAGCAUUCUCUGAAGUGUCCCUCCAGGCCUCUGGUGUUCAUACUUUACCUGCUGACAAUUCGGGCAUUGAGCGACGAAAUCAACAAUGUCACGCUUCAUCCUACUCCACCAAAAAUGUUGCUUUAGGUCACGAUACAUUUUGGUUGCACCAGGAUGUUUAGAAUACCUUGAACUAUGAGCCUCUGUAAGAAUAGUGCGAAUCAAAUCAUUGACACGGGGUACACAAACCUUUCCCUUAAUCCUCAAAACACUUUCCUCAUCGAUUUUUGCUUCUUUAGCCUCCCCUCGCAAUACCUUAUCUCGAAUCCGGAUCAGUUUCUCAUCAGUAAACUGUUUUCCCUUAAUCUUGUCAAGAAAGGAAGAUCUUGCCUCCACACAGGCCAAAAAUCCUCCCUUCUCAUUUACUUCUAGCCUCAUGAGGUCAUUAGCCAGAGUCUGAACCUCUCUAGCCAAUGGGCGUCUGGAAACCUGUAAGUGAGCUAGGCUUCCCAUGCUUCCCGCUUUUCUACUUAACGCAUCUGCCACAACGUUAGCUUUUCCCGGAUGAUACAAGAUAGUGAUAUCAUAGUCCUUCAGUAGUUCUAUCCACCUCCUCUGUCUCAAAUUCAAAUCUUUCUGAGUAAAUACAUACUGUAAACUGCGAUGAUCUGUAUAGACUUCACACUGAACCCCAUAUAAAUAAUGUCUCCAUUGCUUUAAUGCAAACACUACUGCCGCUAACUCCAAAUCAUGGGUCGGAUAAUUACGUUCAUGCACCUUUAAUUGCCUCGAAACAUAAGCAAUUACAUUCUUCUCUUGAAUUAGCACUGCACCCAAACCAGAAUAGGAUGCAUCACAGUAAACGGUGAAAUUCUUACCUUCCACUGGUAGGGUAAGAAUUGGUGCAGUGGUCAACAAAGUCUUGAACUUCUGAAAACUUUCUUCACACUCGUCCGACCAUACAAAUGGAACACUCUGCUUAGUCAAAUUUGUCAGUUGGGAAGCAACGGAAGAAAAUCCCUUGACGAAUCGACGGUAGUAGCUAGCUAAGCCAACAAAGCUCCUUACCUCUGUGACAUUAGUAGGUCUUACCCAAUUCCACUGCUUCGAUCUUAGAAGGAUCCACCAUCACUCCAUCCUUAGAAACCACAUGCCCCAAGAAAGACACUGAAUCUAGCCAAAACUCACACUUGGAGAAUUUGGCAUAAAGUUUUUUCUCCCUCAACAUUUCCAAUACAAUUCUCAAGUGUUCCUCAUGUUCUUUCCUGCUCUUUGAGUAUACCAGUAUAUCAUCGAUGAAUCCAAUGACAAAGAGAUCCAUAUAUGGCUUAAAAAUCCCGUUCAUCAAACUCAUGAAAGCAGCAGGGGAAUUCGUAAGCCCAAAAGACAUUACUAAGAACUCAUAAUGCCCAUACCUGGUCCGAAAGGCAGUCUUGGGCACAUCCGUUGCCCGUAUUUUCAAUUGGUGAUAACCAGAUCUCAAAUUGAUUUUUGAGAAGGUACAAGCACCUUGUAACUGAUCGAACAAAUCAUCGAUGCGAGGAAGAGGGUACUUGUUCUUAACAGUUACCUUAUUCAGUUGUCUGUAGUCAAUGCACAUCCAAAAACUCCCAUCCUUCUUCUUCACAAACAAAAUCGGAGCACCCCAAGGGGAUGCACUUGGUCUAAUAAAGCCUUUGCUUAACAACUCUUGAAGUUAGGCCUUUAACUCUCUUAACUCAGCGGGAGCCAUCCUAUAAGGGGGUAUGGAAAUGGGGCGAGUACCCGGCUCCAGAUCAAUACAAAAAUCAAUAUCUCUAUCCGGUGGCAUAUCAGGAAGGUCUGCAGGAAACACAUCCAGAAACUCACGGACUAUCGAACCCGACUCAAUUGAAGGUACUUGAGUAGUAUCAUCCCUAAGGUGUGCCAAGAAUGCUAAACAACCCUUACUAACCAUUCUCUUAGCACGAAGAAAGGAGAUAAUACGAACUGGAGUGGAAGUGUAGUCACCCUCCCACACUAACGGAUCUGUCCCAGGCUUGGCCAACGUUACAGUUUUAGCAUUACAAUCUAAGAUUGCAAAAUUUGGAGAAAGCCAAGUCAUACCAAGAAUUACAUCGAAGUCAACCAUUUCUAGGAUAACCAAGUCUACAUGAGUAUUGCUCCACACAAAAGUCACAAGACAAGACCUAUACACCUUUUCAAACUAUCACAGACUCACCCACCGGAGUAGAAACACGAAUAGGCAUGUCAAGCAAUUCACAAUGUAAAUCAAAACCAGUAGCAAAUGAGGAAGAUACAUAAGAAAAUUUGGAUCCAGGAUCAAACAAUACAGAAGCCAUCCAAUCACAAACCAAAAGAUUACCUGUGAUGACAACAUCAGAUGUCUCCGCUUCAGAUCUCCCAGGGAAAGCAUAACAAUGAGCCCUAUCACCUGUCUGCCCGUUGCCCCUACCAUGUUGCACUGCAGUAGUUCCAGGUUGCCCGUCACCCCGGCCGUUUUGGUGACCACCAUUACCUCAGCCACCACGUCCUCCAGAAUAGCAGCCUCUUCCAUGACCACCUCUACCUCUGACUAUUGGGGGUUUGUAACUCUAUUUUGGACAAUACCUCUUAAUAUGUCCAGUCUCCCCACAUCCAUAACACUCUCUGGAGUCAAGCAUAGGUCUCUGUGAGAACGACGGAGUCUGGGGAUAACCUCUAAACUCAGAGAAAUGUUGACCGGUCUACGGUGGACCCCCAGCUACAGCCUGCAGUGAAGACUGAAUAGGUCGGGUUGGGUAGCCUCAUGCACCCUGUCCUCUGGAGUAAGAACCAUUAAACUCACCUCCCUUACGAAACUUCUUAGUUGCUGAUGCCAUGGUGAAGUCAUCUGGUUUCACUCCCUCCACCUCUAUCACAAAGUCUACCACUUCAUGAAAGGAUUUUGCUGCAGUAGAUACCUGUAAGGCUGGAAUCUACAAAUCUGACCUCAAUCCCUUCACAAAAUGGCGAAUCCGCUCUUGUGGACUGAAGCAAAGAUGGGUGGCAUACCUAGAUAAUGCACGAAACUUAGCCUCAUAUGUAGUAACCGACAUCCUGCCUUGCUCUAGGCUAAGGAACUCAUCUCUCCUAUUCCUCAAAGUCCGGGGUAUAUACUUCUCCAUAAACAAGCUAGAGAAUGAUGCCCAAGUCAUAGGCGGUGCUUGUGCUGGUUGACACUCAACAUACGAUCGCCACCACAUUUUGGCGUUCCCUUGAAAUUGAUAGGUCACAAACUCGACGCCAAAUCGGUCUACUAUACCCAUCUUGUGUAGUUGUUCAUGACAAUCAACCAGAAAAUCAUAGGCAUCCUCAGAUUCAGCACCCUUAAAGACUGGAGGGUUCAAUUUCAAGAACUUACUGAAAAGUUCAUGCUGACCACUUGUCAUUAUAGGCCAUGUAGUCAACCGAGGAAACGUGCCUAUUUCCAAUGAGGCAUCCAUGCGGGGAGCCACAGCAGCUGCAUGUUGUACCCCCGGAACCUGAGGUGCUGGUGCAAAAAACACUGGAGGUGUCUGGCCUUGGUCAGAUAACCCGCUAAGAUAGGCAAGAACCUGAUUAAUCAUCUCUGGGGUAGGUUAGACUGGUAGUUCGUCAUCUUGCACUUGAUCAUUUUCCCCUUCCUCACCCUCUCCUGCGACCUCUACCACAGCCUCUUGCCACCGCUCCUCUUUGAGGUACAGCCCAGUGGCUGGCUCAGACGCAUCUUGUCUUACCGGUGUUAAUGUUGGCGUAGUUGUUGCUCUAGUUCUAACCAUCUGUGAAAUAGAGUGAAGAUGGUCAGAUACCAAUUUGUAUUACCUAGAUACCAAUUGGAUCCAAGUAAUAGCAUGAAAGAAAGAAAGAAUGGAAUUUUCUUAAAGUCCUAUAGCCUCUCAAAGAAAAGUAAAGGCGUCCCCCUACCGUUCUUCAAGACUCUACUAGACUCGUUCUUGUGUGAUGAGACCAACGAACCUAAUGCUCUGAUACCAAGUUUGUCAGGACCCAAAACGAGCCGCGAGUGGCACCCACACUUAUCCUACUAUGUGAGCGAACCAACCAAUCUAAACCCCAACAUUUCAACCAUAAGAAACAGAAAGUAAUGCGGAAGACUUAAAACUCAUUAACAAAACCGAUAAAUAACUUCUAAAACUCAAAACUUAUUAUUAUCCCCAAAAUCUGGAAGUCAUCACCACAAGAACAUCUAUCCUCAACUUACUAAAUCUAAGAGUAUCUAAGAAGCUAAAAUAACUAAACAGCUAGACCAUGCCAAAACUUCAAGGCAUCAAGACGUGAAGAAGAAGAUCCAGUCCAAGCUAGAAACAAUAGCUCACCCUGAAAUCUGACGUGAUGAAGACUGGCUAGAGUUGCGGUUGAGUUGAAGACAACGGUACGUUUGCUGCACUCCACAAUAACAAAGAGAAAACAUACAAGUAGGGGUCAGUACAAAACACAAGUACUGAGUAGAUAUCAUCGGCCAACUCAAAAUAGAAAGCAAUAUAUAUGAGAUAAUAUCAUAAAAUAACCUACAAUACUCAACAGGCAACAACAACAAGUACAAGAAUCAUUGAUAAAUAACGCCAAGUACACCCAUGAGGACUCAAGCCUCCAUACCAUACUCAUUUGGGAAAUAGGUUCAUUAAAUCUGAGUAUAUUAGCCUAAUUCAAGAUUCAUUCUCUUUACUAUCCUGGUGUCGGAACGUGACACCCGAUCAAUUAAUACUAUCUUGGUGUCGGAACGUGACACCCGAUCCAUUAAUACUAUCCUGGUGCCGGAACGUGACACCCGAUCCAUUAAUACUAUCCUGGUGUCGGAACGGGACACCCGAUCCACUAAUACUAUCCUGGUGUCGGAACGUGACACCCGAUCAAUUAAUACUAUCCUGGUGCCGGAACGUCACACCCGAUCCAUUAAUACUAUCCUGGUGUCGGAACAUGACACCCGAUCCACUAAUACUACCCUGGUGCCAGAACGUGACACCCGAUCCAUUAAUACUAUCCUGGUGCCGGAACAUGAAACCCGAUCCACUAACCUCAUUCUUUUAGUUCAUCAAGCCUUCUUUUAUACCAAGGCAUCAUUAUUAACAAAGAGGUUUUUAAAGUUCAAGAUUUAACAGUUUCAUCAUGCUUAUUUUAUCACAAUCAUGAAAUCACAUCAUGCAAGCAUACAAUUAAGCAUAUAGAAGACUUUACAAUACUACCUAUACAUAUCAUUCGCUAUUAAGAGUUUACUAUGAAAUAGCAUAAACCAUAACCUACCUCCACCGAAGAAUUCGUGAUCAAGCAAGCUAUCCCCUAAAACCUUUGCUUUCCUCUUCGUUUCUCUCUUCUCUCGAUCGUUCUCCCUCUCUCUUUUUCUGAUUUUUCUUUAUUCAAACUCUUUUUUCCUUUACCCUAAUUACCAUAUAAUUAAGUAUAAAAGAUGACAAAAGUAACCUACUAAUUAUUCCAAGGUUGUCUCCUUUAACCCCGAAAAAUUGAAUUAUUAACAUUAACCCACCAACUUUAUAAUUAUAAGCAGGAAUAGUCCAAAACGCCCUUUAAAACAUUUAACAGAAAUCAGACUCAAUCAGGGUUACGCAGCCUGUGACGGCCCGUCGUGCCUGUGACGGCCCGUCGUGCUUAUGACGGUCCGUCCUGCUGCUUCCGUCACAAAGUUCAGAGACUGAAUUUUACUAAAGGGUCUGUGACGGUCCGUCGUGCCUACGACGGUCCGUCCUGCCAUGUCGUCGCGAAGUUCAGAGAGUUGUUCUCAGUACCCAAAUUUUUAGAAUCUAAGUGUUUUGGAACGAGACCCCCUCGACGGUCCAUCGUGGGAUCCUCGACCCAGACAGUAAUUACCAGAAUAAACUCUACUGCUCAAAAACGACUAAACAGGUUGAUACAAAAAUGAAGGUUCAUCUUCCAGAAGAAAAUUACCACUUUUAUUCAACUAGACAAUUAGACAGAAAAUUAAAAAAUCCCAAAAAAAAUAAAGACUUAGAAUUUCUGAUAACCAAAACUAUAGAAAAACUACUUAAACAAAAAUAACAAAAAGACAAACAUAUAAACCCAAGCCCAAUACAAAGCCCAAGACAAGAUUCUACUCCAUGCCCAAAUAAUUCCGAUAAUUUUUUAGACUCAAUGCAAUUUGCCCAAGACCCAAAUUAUGAUGAUUCCGGAAUGAGUUUUGAUUCAAUUGCAUUACAUAAUUUAGACACAUAAUAUAUAUAUAUAUAUAUAUAUUAUUGUUAUAGUCUUAAAAGAGGAAUGCCUCUUUUGUCAAAAAUGUGAGUCCCACUUUACUCACUACCACACAUGUGGAAGAACUGAUAACAAAUGAUAUAGAUUAGAAAAAAGUUUACAAGAUAAGAUAGAAAAAAGUAAUAAUAUAAUGAAACAAAUACAAGACAAUGAUAGUGAAAUAUCUGAGUUAGAAUCUAUACUAAGUCAAAAGUAAUUAAUGGAAACAGCAAGUUCUAGUAGCCCAUUCCAAAGAGCAAAUGAACAAGGAUAUACUGCAGAUAAUAGUAUAGGAAAUAUACCACGUAGAAGAGUAUAUAGACAAGGAGAUACCCCAAUAACAGAAGUUAAACAUAUGGGAAAAAGAAUGCCUAUAGAAGAAUCAAUAAUACUCCAAGAAGGAGGAAGUAAGGUAAAAUUCUAAAUAUAGCAGUACAUGAUCCACAAAGAUGGAAUUCAGUAAUAGACUUAUGGAAAAGAAUAGUAGUAGCAGGCUUUAUAAAAAAUUAUACAGAGACUGAUGCUGAAACUAUGUAUAAAUACUUAGAGGCAUUCUUAGGAGAAUCAACUAAAGCCUUAUGGGAAGCUUAUAAAGUAGAAUUGUCGUCAGAAUUUUAGUAUUUAGUAUCAUUAGGACCUAAACCAUAUAAUUUUACAAAUAAAAUACAUACAUUAAUAACAGGAGAAGAACCAAAUAGUGGAUUAGUAGCCUUACAAAGAAAUGCAGUAAUAAAAUUAGAACAAUUAAGUAUAAGUAAUUAGUAUUAUAUAAAGAAAUUUUUAAACGAUUAUUUCAACUAUUGUACAACUAGUGGAAAUGCUUUUGACCAAGACUUAGGUAAAAAAUUAUUUAACAAACUACCAGGAGCUUUAGGAAGAGAAAUAGAAGAAAGAUGGACUAAAAGAGAAGGAGUAGCACAAAAUCCUCGAGCAAAAUGAUCAAUAGGACAUAGAAUACAACAUAUAAUGGAAAUAUUACAAGAAAAAUAUACUAAUUUACAAAUACAAAAACAACUAAAACAGAUUGAAAUGAACUUCUGUAAAGACAUAAUAUAUACAACCCAAAAUUAUGAUAAAGAUCAAUAUAAAAAGAAAAAGUAUAAAAAAUACAAUCCACAAAAUAACAAGAGAUAUAAUAAAAAAAGAUAUUUCCUUAGAAAAUCUUCAGCAAAGAAACCAUAUUUAAAUAGAGAUAGACAUGUUAGAAAAUAUAGAACAGAUAGAAAUUAUAAAAAUAAGUUAGAAUGUUUUACAUGUGGAAGUAUAGAACACUUAGCAAACACUUGUCCCAAAAGAUAUAAUACUAAGACUAGAAAUGCUCAAUUAGUAGAAGAAUCUAAUGAAGCAUUGUUAAAUGUAGAUGAAUAUAUGUCAGACAAUGAAAGUAUCUAUUAUAUAGUAAGUAUUGAUAUAGAAGAAAAUAACAAAGAAGAAGAAUAUUCUAAUUCAGAAGGAGAGGAAUUAAUUAAUGAAAUAGGAAUAGAAAAUUUAAAUAUAGAUGAUCUAAAAAUUAAUUUUAUGAAUAUAAUAGAAUGUGAACAUAAUUUUGAAAAAGAUACAGGAUUAGAUAGUAAUCCAUGUAACUGGUGUAAAUGGUAUCCAAGCAAACAUAAAAGAGGUAAAUGUAAUACAUGCUUUAUAGAAGGAUGUAUAAGUUGCAUAGAAACACAAUUAGGAAUAAUAACUCAGAAAAGAAUAGAAAUAUAUACAAAUGAACCGUUAAUAAAUUUAAAAGUACUAGUAUUAGAAGCAAAAGUUAAAGAAUUAGAAGAAAGAAUAGUAAGAUUAGAAAAACAAAAGAAAGUUGAACAAGAACUACAACCAGACAAUCAAGAUUUAAUGAAUGAAGAAUCUAAUACUUUAAUAUGUAAUGAAGAUAAAAAUAUAAAUACUGUUAAAAUUUUAGCAAAACUUCAAAUUGGAAAAUAUGAAAUAGAAACUUUAGCAUUAAUAGAUUCAGGAUGUACCAAAAGUAUUAUAAAUAAAAAGAUUGUACCUCUAGAAUUAAUAAAAACCUUAGAAAAACCACUUGCAGCUAUGCAAAUGGAUGAGACACAUAAUAUAUAUAGACAUUAUAUAGAUAAAGCUCAAAUAAAUUUUUUAAAUACUUGUUCAGAAUUUUAUAAACCUACCUAUAAAAUAGAUAAAAUAUGGGUAUACAUACAUACAUAUAUAUAUAUAUAUAUAUAUAUAUAUAUAUAUAUAUAUAAAUUGAAUUAUUUUAAAUUGUUUAAACUCGAGAAGCUCGCUAGUUAAUUACUAUCGAGAAGGGUCAAAAUUGGGUGUCAACAACUAUCCCUUAUUUUACUUGGAUUGAUGCAAGAAAUUCGUGGAAAAUGAAAUUAACAAAGCCAAUUUUGAUCGAUGACAUAUCUAUUUUUUUGGCCAGGGAUUUGGUACGGAGUUUAGGAAUUAUGGCAAAGCCCUGAAAAUGGGUUUCCUACAUAUCUCAUGCUAUAUGAGAAUUCAGGCCACUUGUAGUUCGAUACACUAGAUUUAAUGCACGAUUUUGAAAGUAAUCAAAGGACAUCUCGAAACUGAAUUAUGAAGGUAACAAAAUGCUCGGGAAAAAAAUUUAAGAGCGAGUGUGGGAAUACAGCCGAGUUUUUAACGUUGAGCUUGCCCACAUAUCCUUACUUCAUAAAUAAGGCUGCAUGUAGGUCGACUCCAUCAAUUGAAAAGGACAUAUAUUAUUCUAGAUAACCUUUGACUAUGGACGAGUGACGAAUUAAAUCGAGUAUGAAAAAGAGGCGUGCAACCUUAUAGCCAUGAAGUUGGAGCUCUUCAAAUCCGUAUAUAAGAAUUUGCACUGACAUAAUUUCUAAAGCUCUUGGUGCAUUGUCAUAUAGAUUGAAAGCUUGCUUCAGGCAGAUACCAAGAUUUCCGGAUACAAAAUCGACACAGACGAAAAUCAGAGAAAAACCCACAUGCCUUCUCAUAGUGGUGUGGUUUCAUUGUGGUGGAAGUAACUCCUUUGCUCGCAUCCUAAAAGUUUGACACUCCUCUUUGGACUAUGUCCUUGUUCGCUGCUAAAAAAAGGUUCCACGUUGUGUUGCAUCCUUUUUUAUGUCGUCUACACCUGUGAUUUUUUUAAAAAGAAUUCAUCCUUUUGGAUGCUCUCGACGAAGACUAAGAUAAAACUCGUCAGCAUAAAAAUGCAGUUAAAAGGGAGACGAUGUCUUUUAUCGUGUCGACACUUAAUCGUUCUCUUUGACAUUUGACGCUAACUCAAUUGGUUUGUCGUAAAGCAAAUAAAGCUUAUGUCUUGUGUUAAUCUUCAAUGUAUUCUUCCUUUGAUGUCAACAUAAAGGAAAGUUGAUGUAGUGUGAGAGUAUUUCUCUUGACGUCAUCUUCGAUGCUCUUCUUGAUGUUUACUUUUAACAAAAAAAAAGAAUGCAGUCGAUGCCGAUGCAUAAAUAUUUCUUUUGGGAUGUACGAUUUCCUCUUCUAGUAGUGCAUGAUUUCUUGCGGGGCAUGAAUAUCUUUCCGCGAUGUGUGAUUUCUUGUCGAGUAUGAGUAUCUUCUCGCGAUGCAUAAUUUAGCGAGGUAUGAAUAUCUUCUGGCGAUGCAUAAUUUCUGUGAGGUAUAAAUCUUCUUGCGAUGCAUAAUUUCUGAGAGGAAUGAAAUCUUCAACGAUGCAUAACUUUCUGCGAGGCAUGAAAUCUUCCCGCGAUACAUAGCUCUCUGCAAGGCAUGAAAUCUUUCAGCGAUGCAUAGCUCUCGCGAGACAUAAAUAUCUUCUCGUGAUGCAUGAAUAUUGACUCGCGAUGCAUGAGUAUUAACUCCCAAAGCAUGAUCUUCCGCGAUACAUGAAUAUUAAAUUGCGAUUCAUGGAUGUUGACUCGCGAUGAAUGAUCUUCCGCGUUACAUGAAUAUUAACUUGCGAUGCAUGAUCUUCUGUGAUGCAUGAAUAUCUUCCUUCCAUGCACAUACAUUAACUCUUGAUGUCAUCCUUGGACUAAAUGAAGAUAGUGUUUCAAUCGACCAACAUAAGGAUCUUUUGGGUGUUUUAUGCAUAAUCAUAUCGUCUCUAAAUAUGAUAACGGUAAAACGAGUUUUAGAUAGUAAAUUAUCUUGAUCGACAAUAUAACUGACCCCUUCGGGUAAUGCAUAGUAUUAUCUCUAAUAAUAUGUCGUAGAUAACGUCUUUGAAUCUGGCUGGACGUUCCUCAUAGACUUCAUGUUGUUGAAAUCGACUGAAAUGAAUCAUUCAUAUUCCCAAGCUCCUCAUAUCAGCAAUAUAAAAUAAUUCCUACAUCCGUAGAAAAAUCAUAGAUUUUGGGGAGCAGCUUUCUACCCCUUUGACUUCUCAUAUUAGUCAAUAAGAGAAAUUUGAUAAUUUCUAAGAAAUACUAUGAAUCUACAUCCACAGAAAAAUCGUUAAUUUUAAAAAGGACAAAUCUGGAUCGAUUUUUCAGUUAUCUGUUCCUUGUCAAUCCAUCAACAGUUGAUAUUCCCAAUCUCCUAACUCUUGAUAGAUAAAACAAAAUAUCUUAUGCCAAAACAAAUGAAACAUAAAAGAAAAAUUUGUAAGAAAAUAAAUUUUCGAGAAGUUGUUUUUGAAAAGGGUCACUGCCAAGUGUCAUGUCAUGACAGGCUUUGGUGAACUUCUUUGAGUCUGAUCCUUGGAGGUCUAUCUGAUUAUUUACUGGAGAGUAUUCAAAGUUACACUUGACUGCCGAUAAACCCUAUUUAAAUUUUGAGGCCAUCCUCAAAACUUCUGUCUUAGUUAAUUUUCUUGGCUUACCUUUAACUGUCAUUGAGUAAAUAGCAAAAUUUUUGAGAUCCUCUGGAAAAUUCUGUCCAAGUUUCAAAUCUCAAAGUAUCUUCAGUCUCGUCUCGUUUAGGAAAAUCUUCUUUUAAGAGUUUUCGAGUCCCUCUCAAAAAUUCUGUCUCGGUUUCUAUGUAAAUAGGAAUAGAAAGCUUACAGGGAGAUAUGACCGAACCCUUGUGGCCCCUACGUAUGCUGUUGAGGUAGAAAUCAGGUCAAACGUAGUUCCCCUCAAAGGAUAACAAUAAUAAGAAAUUUUACAAAGAAAUCAACCGAGGCUGACAUAGGUUGCCUCGUGUCUCAUUCUUGAGAAUUCAGGUCGAACGUAGUUCAAAUACAAAGAAAUAUUAAAAGGGAUAAAUGGGAUGACCGAGGCCAACAUAGGUCACCUACGUAUCUCAUCCUUCACAAUUCAGGUAAAACGUAGUUCAUUACAAGAGAGAUAGAAAUUUUAAACAAUGAAGAUAUAAGCAAAAUAGAAUAAUUACAAAUAAAUGACAGAAAUACAAACUGAAACUUCACACGUAGUAUCUCUUGACAGCGUCUGAGUUGAUUGGUUUCGGCCACGCGGCGCCAUCCAUCUCCGAUAGGACCAAAGCACCUCCGAAUAAUACAUUAUGAAACAUGUAAGGUCCUUUCCUAUUUGGUGAAAAUUUUCCUUUGUACUUAUCUUGAUGAGGGAAAAUGCGCUUGAGGACCAACUGACCAACUUCGAAAAUUCUAGCUCUUACUCUCUUGAGAAAAACACGAAUCAUUCUCUGUCGAUACAACUGACCAUGACAAUCGGCAAUCAUUAUCUUCUUAUCAAUCAAAGUUAGUUGAUCAAUCCGCUUGUUGACCCAUUCAACACUACUGAACUCUGCUUCCUAGAUAAUUUUCAAAGACAGUAUUGCGAUUUCAGCAAGGUAUGAAUGCUUCUGUCUCAUAUACUAGCAAUUAUGGGGUAGCUCUAAUUGAUACUGUAGUCCGAUAACCCUAAAGAGCAUAUGGAAACAUCUUGUGCAAACCUCGGUGAUUGUCAAUCAUGUUUCUCAGAAUCUUCUUGAUAUUCUUAUUGGCGGCCUCUACAGCUUCGUUUAUUUGAGGACGAUAAGAAGUUGAGUUUUGGUGAGUCAUAUUAAAUUGCUCACAUAUAUCUCUCAUUAAGUGACUGCUAAGAUUUGCACCAUUAUCAGUAAUGAGCAAUUCUAGUACUCAAACCUACAUAUAAGAUUGUUGCAAACAAAAUCAGCCACAACUUUAUUGGUUAAUGACUUUUAAGAAGCUGUUUCCACCCACUUGGUGAAAUAAUCAAUAACGACCAAAAUUAAUCUGUGUCCAUUUGAAGCGGAUGGCUCUAUCGGACCAAUGACAUCCAUACCCCAAGCUACAAAUUGCAAAGGUGAACUCACAGCAUUAAGUUCGUUGAGGUGGCACUCGGAUCAAAUAGUCGUGUAUUUGACAUUUUUGCAUAAACUUGCAACAAUCAUUCUCCAUAGUCAUCUAGAAAUACCAUACUCGAACGAUCUUUCUUGCCAAAGUGAGCCCAUUCAUAUGCGUGCCACAAACUCCAACAUGUAUCUGUUUAAUAAGUUUUGUAGCUUCGACAACCUCAACAUAUCUGACAAGAACCAAAUCUGGAGUCCUUCUAUAAAGGAUUUCUCCACUUAGAAUGAAAUUCAGAGUCAUAUGGCGUAUCGACUUCUUCUGGUUUGAUGUAGCAUCUUCAGGAUAAUUUCCGGACUCCAAAAUACUUCUUUAUAUCAAAAUGCCAUGCCAAACCAUCUGGUUCUGCUUCAACAUGUGAACAAUUGAUAGGAUGUUCUUUCAGAUAUAUAUCCAGAGGAUCAAUAUAAUCAGUAUCCGGAUGUUUAAUCAUUAAAGCGAUAAUGGCGAGAACAUCGGCUAGGAGUAUGUCUGAACUCGAUCUUACGGAACCUUUUGCACAACUUUUGUACAUACUGCACGUAAGGUAUAAUAUUUUGCGGAUUCUUCACAUCCCAUUCUCCCUUAAGCUAAUGAAUCAACAAAUCUGAGUCUCCAAUAACCAAUAACUCGUAGACAUUCAUGUCAAUGGCUAUUUUCAAGCCAAGAAUAUAAGCUUCAUAUUCAGCCAUGUUGUUUGUGCAAUUAAAUAGGAACUUGGCUACCAUGGGAUAGUGCUGACAAUAUUAUGAUACUAAGACCGCUCUGAUACCUUUCCCUUGAUGAUUUGCCUCUCCAUCAAAGAAUAGUAUUCAACCUGGAUAUGCUUUAUAAGUAUCUUCAUCCACAAAUGACAUUUCUUCAGCGUGAAAAUAAGUCUUAAGUGGUUCAUACUCUUCAUCAAUGGGAUUUUCUACAACAGGAUCAGCCAAAGAUUGUGAUUUUAUCGUCUUCUGAGUCAUAUACACAAUAUCAAACUCACUCAAUAGCAGUUUCCACUUAGCUAAUUUUCCAGUCAGCAUCGCCUUGUGGAAGAUAUACUUCAACGGGUCCGUUCUUAAAAUGAGGUAUGUAGUAUAAGAAGAGAGAUAAGGUCUCAACUUUUGGGCAAGCCAAGUCAAAGCACAACACGUUCUCUCCAACAUAAUGUAUCGAGAAUCCUAUGGAGUAAACUUCUUGCUUAUUUAAUAGAUAUAUUUUUCCUUCUUCCCUUUCUCGUCGUGUUGAAUGAGUACGCAUCCAAAUGCACUAUGAGAUAGACAAAUGCAGCAACAAAGGACUCCAUUCUCGCGGAGGAACCAAUACCGAUGGAUUUGAUCAAUAUUUCUUGAUAGCAUUGAAGGCAAUCUUACACUCUUCAGUCCAUUUUGUCGGAGUGUCUUUCUUCAAAAGCUUGAAGAUAGGCUCGCACACCACGAUUGAUUGAGUUAUGAAUCAACUGAUGUAGUUUAACCUCCAUAAGAAACUCAUCAUCUCUUUCCUCGUCUUCUGUGAAGGUAACUCUUGAAUUGCUUUGAACUUAGAAUGAUCGAGCUCAAUGCCCCUUCAGUUGAUUAUAAAUCCCAAUAACUUUCCGGCUGGAACAACAAAAGAGCAUUUGACGGGAUUUAACUUCAAGUUGUAACACCAUAAAUGGUCAAAAAACUUCUUCAAGUUCGUCAAGUGGUCCGAACUUUUGUGGGACUUGAUUGUGACAUCAUCAACAUACACUUCGAUUUCCUUAUGAAUCAUAUCAUGGAAUAUAGUCGUCAUAGCCCUCAUAUAUGUAGCACCACAUUCUUUAGGAAAAAUUGCAUCACUCAGUAAUGAUAUACACCCCUAGGUUUAAAAAAUUGUCUUUUUGUCGUCCAACAGAAUCUGAUGAUAACCUUCAUAAGAAUCCACAAAUGACUGCAUUUCAUGUUUACCACAGUUUCAAUCAGAAUGUGAAUGUUCGGCAAUGGAAAAUUAUCCUUAGGGAUGGGAUUGUUGACAUCUCUGUAGUCGACACAAAAUUUGAUCUUCCCAUCUUUUUUGGCGGAAGGAACAACAUUGGCCAACCAAGUCGGUUAUUGUGUCACUUCCAGCAAUCGAGAUUCUAUCUGCUUGGUGAUCUCUUUUUUAAUCUUUCAACUCAACUCAGGCUUGAAUUUCUGAGUUUUUUGCUUCACCGAAUUGAACCCUAGAUUAGUCAAUAAUUUGUGAGUCACCAUAUUUGUACUCAACCCUAGCAUGUCGCUGACCUCCCAAACGAACACGUCAAUGUACUCGGUGAGUAAAUGAAUAGGCCUUUUCUUUGAGCUUCAUUCAAAUGAACGCUAAUAUUGACUUCUUUUACACACUCUUGGUCUCCCAGAUUUGUAGCUUCAAAUUCCUCUAAAUUAGGCUUAUGCUGAUUUUCAAACUGUAGAAAUUCUUAAGCAACAUAUUUUGGUUCCUCACUUUCUUCUUCGUAAUCAUCAACCUCGUUAUAACCUACCUCAUUUGGUUCAUUCAGCUCGUUACAUGACACGACAUUGGUAGAUUUAAAACAUACAUUAUUGAAACCGUAAACAAACAAAGUUAGGAAAGCAAAGUAUAACAGAUGAGUAAAUAAACAAAUUUAAAAAUAAAAGAGGCUUUCAUUCAAAUUGGAAAAACGGUGCAAGCUUUGGCCAUGGCAUAGGGCCAUGUUGCCACUUUAAACAUCAUAAUGGAAAAUUGAAAAUUCAAAUAGUUAAGAAAAAUGCAAAAUGAUGGGCCUCGGGCCUCUUCUGGACUACCACCAAUUUUUAAUUAUGCAUUAUACGAUGACCUUCUACCGAGGAUUUUGGGAGAUCAGGAUGGGCGUGGAGGUCCAGUUCUGCAGCAUCUCUCCUGGCUCAGCAUCACGGAUACAAGCUAGCUCGACCUCUUUCUUAAUAACAUCAUCGAUCUCCUCGAAAAGGCCAUAGAUUCCUUCCCCAAGGUCUUCAUGCUCAACAUACUCCCGAACUGGGAAGGAUUGAUACAGAUGUGGGAUCGACUUAGUCAAUGCUUGAUCAUUUUUUCUUUUUACUUUAUGUCAUCAUCAAUGAAGAUGUACCCAAACCAUAUUUGGCUCUUUUGACGAGGAUCGGAAUAGGCUCAAUAAUUCCUUGCGAAUUUAUUCGCAAUCUGAAACCUAGUUUAAAUCCACUCUGCAAAAUCACUGUAGCAAUAAUCUUAUACACAUAAGGCAUGAGAGGUUGUGGGGCCAAGUCUUCACUAGUAGCAUUUACCAGCUCCACUGUGUAGAAAUUAGUACCAUGAGACACUUCAUCGAUAAUCAACGCCUGUCUGCCUGAAUGACUGCCUUCGCCAUGAAUGACUAGAUCUUCGUUCUUUUAAACAAGUUUCAUGAUCUGAUGCAUGGUAGAGAGAACAACUCAAACCAAGAGAAUAAAAGGCCUUCCCAGAAAAAGGUUAUAGCUGGUGACAAUAUCUAGGACUUGAAACUGUGUGUUAAAUCGGCAGGGGCCAAUUUGAUAACCUUAUUUUCGGCUCCCAAGGUAUCUCUUUGAACCCCAUCGAAGGCUCUCAUGUUGACUUGAUUUUGCUUAAGUUUUUCUAAGUCAAACUUCAACUACCUUAGCGUUGACAACGGGCAGAUGUUUAGACCAGAUCCAUCAUCUACUAAGACCCGAUUGAUAACCUUUUCAGGACAGACGAUAGUGAUAUACAGUGCCUUGUUGUGGGACUUGCCUUCAAAAGGUAACUCAUCUUCAUAAAAGCUAAUUCUAUGCCCUUAAUAACCUAGUGGAUCAUAGAGGCCACAUUAUCGCUGCUUGUGCCCGUGGGUACAUACGUAUCAUCGAGAGUCUUCAUCAAAGACUGUAUGUGCAAUUGAGAACUCAUCAGCAGCGCCCAUACAAAAAUUUGGGCUGGAGUCUUCUCAAAAUGCUUGACAAUAGAAUAAUCUUUCGGCUGCAUUCUUCUCUAGAAUUCCUCUUCGUCACCCUCGCUUAUUGGUAUUUUAGCUUGAUACUUCUUUUGACCUCCGAGAGAAAGCUCCUCAGGAAUAUAACAUGUUUUGGAUCAGGUCAUACCUUGUGCAGUAGCAGUCUCAACCACAAAUUUUUGCUUGAAAAGUGUUUUUUAUGGAACCAAGGCAACAACCUUUUCGGUUGUCAAGAUAACGAACUCUUUAUUCUCUUUGAUGCUCAAGAAAGCAACAACCUUUUCAAAAUUUUCAUGAACGAUUGGAGCUAUCACUUUCGUUCCACACCAAAUCAUAGUCUGAUUCUAUUAUACAAUCGUUGCCGCCUCCAUGAUUCGGCAAAGGAUUGGUAUUCACAUUAGGUGCAACUGGUUGGAGAGAAACCAACUCUUCGUCGAUUAAAUCUUGAAUCUUGGGCUUGAGGUGGAUACAGUCCUCAGCAUCAUGUCCAACACAGUUGGAAUGAUAAGCACAUCUCUGGUCUGACGUAUAGAAUUUUGAAUUGAUUUCCAUGGUUUUGGGCCCUACUAGGUUGAUAUAUUCGACCGCAGCAACUCGCCUGUACAACUUUGCUCUACUUUCUUCUAGCACGAUGAAAUUCCUUGAAGGUUUCUUCUCGAACCGAGGUCUAGGGGAAUCAUAACUUCCUUGUUGGGGAGGCAUCUGCUUAUAAACUCGCUAGUUGUUUUGCAUUGGAGCUUGGUAGUUCGAGUAGGGAUUUUGAUAUAGUGGAACUUGAUCUUAAUAGACAGGAAGGGGUGCUCAAUAUCCCGACUACACGUUAGAACAGUUGGGAGCAACACCGUAGUAGAGAGAUGAAAGUGAAGGAUGAUUUGGGUAAACGGGAGAUAUAUUCUGGUAAUUCGGGGGUUGACUUUUGUCUAGGGGAGAUUCGACGUUUGGAUAAGUGGAGGUAACAUUCUCAUGAAUUGGAGGAUUAUUGGGAUGACUAGUUUGCGUGUACCAAGCUUGGUAGGAAUUUUGGGAAGGUCGAGAGAGACCUUGGGAAUAUUACGAGCUUCUCGGAGUUUUCCUUCCCCCAUAUGAAACAACAACAUUUUUUUCUCUUUUUUUCUUCAACGUUCCUAAUAAUCCGAUUGAAGCAGUGACGGGCUAUCCUUCCCGUUUUCAACCCGUCUUAGAUAUUCUAACCAACUUUGACUAUCUCAGCAAAUUUUGCUCCUACAAGCAAUAUGAUUCCAUCAUAAUACUCAGCUCUUUCACCCGCACGAACACUUCAACAAAUUUAUUUUUCAGACAUUGGCGCCUCGCACCCUCGCCGCUUUUUUUCUCAAAUUAUAGGCAAACUCCCAAUAGCUCUCGGUUGAUUUUUGCUUUAUCUUUUCCAAGGAGUAUCAAACUGGAACAAUUUCUAUGUUGUAAGAGAAUCGAUCGAUAAAAUCUUUGGUCAAUGCAUUCCUACUGGGCCUUUGCCGGGUUUCAUGCGAGAUGAACCAUUUAAGAGCUUCUCCACUCAGUCUUCGGUUGAAGAGCCGCAACAAUAAAGUUUCAUCCCUUCCAACUCCCACGAGAUGGUAACAGUAGGCUCUCAAAUGAGCCUUAGGGUUGCCCACUCCCCCGAUAAUGUCAAACUUCGGGAUAUUGAACCUUUCUGGAAGGUACAAAUUUGGAUAGAUACAUCAGUCUUUAUAUCUAAUACCGGCAGCAUCAGGGAUGCAUUGGAGCUCUUUCAUGUCUUUCUUGAUCUCUUCUUUUAUGUGAACCUUUACCUCUUCAUUUGCCCUCCACUCCUUUUUCUGUUCCUCAUAAUGGUCCAGCUCAGAACCAUGCACAACGUGUUCGGCAGGAAUAGGAAUUUUGAAAGUAGUUUUUUUGGGUAAGGAUAGAGCCACAUAAGGACUCUGGGCAUUUUGAGCAGUUUGAUAAUUUUGUUGGUAAGUCUACAGAUUGGUAUUCUUAUUUAAGUGGUGAUGGGAUGUUUUGGAUUAAAAGUAUUUUGAUUUGGAUUUCGUUUUUGAUUUUGCAGUGGUGGAGCAGUUUCAUGGUGGGCAUUUUGAGGAUGGGGUGGCAUUUGGGGAUGAUUGUUUUGAGAGGAGGUGGAGUUUGGUAGGAUGCGUAAGCUUAUUGGGGAUUUUGGGUAGUCAAAUCUAUAACCGACGGGUUCUAAGCAGGUGUAAAUGGCUGGUUCUAGGACAAAUCAAUAUUUGAGGGAAGGAAGUAGAUUGGAUGUCUUCCAUCAAGAGUGUUAGCAGCAAAUCCUGGUUGAGGCGAAUCCUGUCUCGUUUGCGUUUCUACCCUCAUCUCUUCAAUCUGUUGCAUGAACUACACAAUCAACUCAUUAUGGUCCUCUAUGGUGGGUUAAGACACCACAACAUCAGUAAGACUUACUUCUUCGUUAUUAUCCCCCUUAAUAGUCUUUGCAUUAUCUAGAUUUGUCUAAGGAAGAAAUCUGUAAGACCUUUUGAUCUGGUGGAAUAGGGAUGAUCUACCAGGUAUUGAUCCACACAGAUAAGUUUCAAAGUACCUGAGAGGGAAAACAACUCAGAGGCAGAUUUGUCACUACAGAUUCAGAAUACAAAAUGCAUAAUAUCACAUAGAGAGCAUAUAAACACACAAGUUGCUUUGUUUUAGGACAUCUUCAACUCACGUGUAAGGACGGAAACACAUUAUUUAACAAGUAGGACUUUGCUUGUUUAGUUUUCACACUGUCUCAGAAAGGUUAAAUCACGUUUGAGCUACAGUCUUCUUGCAGUUGCUCUUUGACGUUCGUUGAUUUGGUCUACGUAUCUUCUCGUCACAUAAAGGGGGAGAAUGAAAAUUAUUAAAGAUAGGGUCAGUCCUGGUAAGGCUACCUACGUAUCUCACAAGGAAAAUUCAAGCCUAACGUAGUUCGAGUACAAGAUAAAAUAUUUUCAUUCAUUCAUUCAUUACGAUUACAAGGAAAAUGAAAGGCAACAGUAGAGCUUUUAAACAAUAAAAUGAUGACGUCACAUUCAUCAUUUCCAUUCUUGUUGCAGCAUUAGUCUCAUCCUUCCGUACGUCCUAGGAAUGGAGGCCUGUAGACGAUUUCCUUGUUGUCGUCAUCCCCAGUCACUUCAGGGUGAGCAUUAUCGGGACCACUAUUAGCCCCUUAAUCAUAAACGGGGUAAUUUUCGCGCAUUUUCUGAAGUUCAUCAAUCAUGUUGCUAUGGAAGGCUUUGUUCUUCUUCCUCAGUACAACCAUCCAUUCUCUCAUAGAGAUGAGUUAUUCCAUUUCCAUUGUCAGCUCUUCAUGAAGUAACAUGCUGUUAGCUAACAGAGAGGCGGUCUUCGAUUCUAUCCUCGCCUCUCUCACUUCUAUUACCUGCACUUUCACCCGAAACUUGUCCAACUUCUCUCGCAAGUCUUUUGUGUCCAUCUCAACAUCUUUCUUUCUCUUCAUCUCUGAUGUCAGAUCCUCAUCCAGAGUCACAGUUGCAGCUUUGUAAAUUGCGGUGGCCAUGUAGAUUCUGAGCCCUUCCUCCUUUGCUUCUUAAUUUUUGAAGUGAUCCGUUCAAUCUUUCUUUGUAGCUCUUCUCCAGUGAGUUCCAUCUGGAUGUUCUUACCUUUGUCCAUUGCAGUGAUUUUUCCUUUCCUGAGAUGGUAGAGUAGUGUUUUAAGAUUUGAGGUAUAGGAUGUGUCUUUUGAGUGUGAAACUUGAGACUCAGAAAUUUUGACCGAACAUUUUGUAACGACGACUUGUUUGUAUAUAUAAUCUGAAAGUUUCUGGAAAUGAGUGGGUUUACGAUAUCAUCAUUAAUAGCAACAUAACACAUAAGUAGUUAAACACAUAUAUCAUGUCCUAACACAUAUAGAGGGACACUUUUGUGCCAAGGGUAGGCCUAGCACAUUUGAAUAAUGUACGCGUGAAUUGAACAAAAUAAACAAUCUCCCCUUCCAAAAUGAAUUUCACAAGUUAAUAAUGUUCAUAGAGGGGAAAAUAAUGGAUAAUACAUUAAAGAAAAACCCACGUGGGGGACAUUUAAAAGUGCAUUAAAGGCAGGCCCACGCAGGGGCUAAAAUGACAAAUACAUAUUGAAAAACCAACAUAGGGAAGAAAUCCACUAUAUCUCUCCAGAUGGUCCUGCUUCGUCGUCGUCCCCCGCAGUAUUGUAUUACUGAAACAUAUAUCAUAGCAUCAGCAGGAAUCCUUCACCUAAGCGUCAUUUUUCUUCCAAGCUUUCGUAUCGCAUCCUCUUGAUUUUCUUCUUGACCCAAGCAUCGAAAUUGUCAUAACCACGCCAUAGUCUUUCCACCUCUUGAGUCACCUUCUCUAGAGUGUCUUGGUUCUCAAAAAACUUAGCGUACACUUCUUGGGCCUCUUUCUUUAUCUCUUGUAGCUGGGCCAUUGCUUCGGCUUUUCUGUCUGUUACGCUGCAAAAGUUGCACGGUUUUAGGGAGAAGAUGCUUUGUAUGUCCUUCUUCAGACAUUCUUUGUAACCAUUGUGAUACCCAGCAUUGAAUCGGUAAGGGGCGAUGUUGUUUUUGUCCAUACGCUUGGCACUUUUCCAUUCUCUAAAUGUUUCGGACGCGUCUUGCACUCUAUCGUCUCCAAAUUCAUAUGCAUAACCACCAUAGUACGCCUCUUUGGGUACAAUUUGUCUCCUCCUGAACUUUCAUAAGACUUGAAAGAGUGCAUAAGGGAGCAUUCUCUGAAUAACUGGUAGAGGAAGCACAAUAUUUAUGCGGCUUUCCACGACAACUUCUUUGGAAAUGAAACGGUUCAGCAUCCAUUAGAGAUCUUCUUCUCUCGAUUUGGAGAAAAUUUGAGCCCAUCUUCCCCUAGUUCUCCGAUUGUCCAUAUUUGCCCAGUACAAUAUGUCAUUCAAAUCAAUAAGGGUGUUUUUGUUGUCAAGAGUAUGCAGCUCCCGAGUCCCAGCACCUUUUGCUAAAUGGCUGAAGAUCCACCACUUAAGGAGCAAGUUGCAUUCUUGGAAGUAUCGAUACCCCUCUUUGCAUUUUCCGAGGGUUCGAUACAUAUCGAAAAAGAUGACUGGAGCUUUAGGGUAGUACUUUGUUAUACCUUGGUUCUCAUACUCUUUGAACAAAGUAUGCGUGAGUGUUAUAACUCGGGUAUUGAUACUCAAACUUGGACCAUGUGGAAAUACCAUUGUACCCAAUAACGCUACAACAAAUGCUAAUGGACGAAUUUCAUUCCAUUUAUUGUAGGAAAUCUUGAACUCUCAGUUGUAAGUGGCGUAGAAGGUUAAAUGUUCGUGUCAUAUACAAUGAUCCCUGAAUGCUGCGUGGGAUUCUUGGCACUAGUAGGCAAAGUCUUUUCCCAACCCGAACCAGUCAACAAUAUUUUCUAUAGAAGACUUAUUAGGGAUAAAGAUAUCUUCUUGUUUUCUUGAAGUCCUUUCUAUCUCAGUACCUACUAUGUCUACACAGUCUCUGAUCUCCUCCAAAUUUGGGGUAAUUUCGGCAGUUCGAAUUGAAACACCAAUCCUUUUCUAUCCCAAUAUCUUAGACUAAACAAUAAUAAAUAAAAAUAAAAACAGAAAAUAAAAAGGCGACAAGGGCUUAGGCCCAAAAUAAGUACAAUAUGAUGAUUAAAAUAAAUUUUGGGCUAUUUUGCCCCAAUCCAUUCAAUUUUUCCGACUUGAUUCGGAUCCUUCAUCCUUGGACCUAUUCUGUGAUUCUACAGGGUUGAAUCAAUGGAGAUUUUUGGGCUUUUAAGUCUCUCUCUCUUGAGAUGCAAAGGGAAGUGAGAGUUUAUAUCAAACUCGCACAGAUUUUUGCAUGAAACAAAAUAAUGAUAGGGAUUAGUGCUCCACGAUUUUUAAGUAAAGCAUCAAAAGACUGUAAAUUAGUCCAAAAGAAAAUCAAAGAUGCCAACGAAAACUACUUUGGUGAAUAGAUAAACAAUUUUGCCGGAAUCACGAAAAAUAAAACCAACAAAUUGAAUGUGCUCUUUGAAAUAAAGUGUCACAUGGGAAAUUUUGAAGCAAUCAAUACCAUAGCAAAUUAUUUGAACUGAGAUAAACAUGUCGUGAGUCAACAUCAAAUAAAGAUAAUAAUAAUAAUAAAUAAAUAAACUAUGGGCCCGUUUGGAUGGGCUUAAUAAAAACAGCUUUAAAAAAGUACUUUUGAAAGUGCUGAAACUUAUUUUUAAAAUAAGUAGUUAUGCGUUUGGAUAAAAGUGCUGAAGUUAAAAAAAAAUUGUUGAUGUGUUUGGCAAAUAAGUGUUGAUAAACAACUUUUUCAUUCAUUAGUAAUAGUAAUUGUCUAUCAUCCACACGUGAAAAGGGAAAAAUAGAAGAAAGAGAUGUUAGGAUUAUGUGGAUAAUUUGGAAAUUGUAUAAAAUAUUAAGGAUAAAAAGGUAAAAAUGUGAUCAACUUAAAACAGUUUAUAAUCUGGAAAAAAAAGCACCCCUACCCCAGCUUUUAACUUUUAGAUUAAAAUAAGUUUUUUUCAACUUAAAAUAAGUUAUUUUGAGGAUUGUCAAACAACUAAAUAAGUCAAAAAUCAGUUUUUAAGUCAGUUUGACCAGCUUUUAAGCUGAGCCAAACAAGCUCUAUGACAUAUGAUAAAUGGGCACACUUAGCCAUUCAUGGUAAACUGUGCUCUGCAAUAAAGAAAUGCUAUAAACUAAAGGAAUAAAGCAGCUUAGCAUAUUUUGACUAGCAAAUAACAAUACUGCAGAGAAAGGAUUUAUACCCAGCUAUUCACUUAUACCGAUAUGCACAUCUUAUCAUAUUAGCUGGAAUAAAAAUAAUAUAAUCAAGUCAUUUUGUAUCACACAUCAUUAUUAUAUUUCAUGUUUUAUUUGUUUCUUUUUUUUAAAAAAAGCACAUAAGGGUUGGAGACAAGCAUGAAUAGGCUACAGGAAAUCCUCGAGCCAUUUUACAGUUUUAGCCAUCAAAACAUACCAAACUAUGCUUUAUUCAUCUUUUUAUUACGAGAUAUACAGAGACUAUACAUCCACCAGAAAUCAGAAACGCCACGAAAAAGGAUUUCAAACUUCAGGACUGAAUAACAGCUUUAUUUGAUCACACAAAAACCCAUAUUUGCUGAAAAUUCAGACAUAUAGAAACAAACACUAGGCAGGCAAGAGAAGAUAUUGAUAUGGUCGAAAUGAUAUACCACGAACUUAAAACAAAAAAUAAGCAAUAUCUAAGAAACUCGAGAUAUCAAUGUCUUGCUUCAACCUUCCAACCUAGUAUAAGAACUAAGAAAGAUGACUUUCGACAUUCAAUCCCUAUAACAAAUUUGUGAUUGACGAAGACAAACUAAAACCUAGUAUGACACUUCCAAAUUCAAUCCCAUAUAAUAAAAAAAAGGGCAACAACAAUUUUCCUUUUAUCCCUCCAGAGACUCAACCAUAUGUUCAAGUCACAACAAAAACUCAACUCAUAAAACAUUUAGAGACAAGUGAAAAAGGUGCACCAAUUUACGUUAACAUUCGCAUACAUUUAACACACACAAACUCAUAUAACCAAACAUCUAACAGUGACACGUUAAGAGUAAAAAUUCUUGAACCAAAUAAACAAUGGAAAACACAUAACGACGAAAUGGAAAUUUUAAGUAUCGGAUUCCCAAAACCAAACAAAUAUGACAAGAUAGAAAAGGGCAGCCACAACUUAAUCUCAAAUAAAGAUACAAUUUUAAUCUCAAAGGGGUAUAUAAUACAAUAACCAAUUUCCAUAUGAGACGUUUGAGAAAUCAUCUUCAUUUGAAGAAAACGCAGCAAACAACAUCAACACUAACGAAAUGAGUGCUCAUUUUUAUAUUUUAAGACAACUAAAACAGGAAAUACAGAUUCAAACUUCCAAAACAAGUACGAAAAAAGGACGAUGAAAGAAACUCGAAACAGAGGAAAUCAACUACGAUGAGAUCGCUUUAAGAAGUAUGCAAUAUAUCAAAUGUUUUUCUGUUACAAAUAACAACAAUACCACGAUACGGUAAUAGGUCUAUCAAAAAAUGGCAAAAUACGAAGAGAACACUGUACACAAGUUUGCAGAAGAACCUUAAAAUAUACAUCAAUAAUGUCACAAAAAAGAAGGAAUAACAGCGUACAACUGGAGCAAAGAACUUCUUUAUGAUAAAAUUACGAAAUGCUAAAACAUUAAAACAAAAUGGCAAAAGACUUCAUGGAUAGCACCCAUACAGUAAGCAAAUAACACAUGAUUUAGACAUACAUGACAAUAAACUCUUUAAUGAUCAUUAUAGCAGUAGGAAAUAAAAGGGAACACAAAGAAGUCAAAAAAUAGAACAUAAUUAGUGGUUUACCUUUUGAUGCAACAAAAAGAGACAACGAUGAGCGCCAAAGAAAGAAGCGAGUUCCACACAAACGGAACAACCAAUGGUGAAAAGAAGACCCAAGUUCGAGCAAAGUAUCUACUCCAAUUCUGAAAUCGAGUGAGCCAUUUCAAGAGUAUUUCUAUGGAUUUCAAUCAAGUAAACUUGUUCUUAAUAUAUUAAGUAGCUUUCGGAAAGUUCCUCCUCUUCUUGUAUGGGAUUUCGGCUGGUCUUCUUUCUCGAGAAAAUUUUCUCUCAAAAAAAAAUUUCCUUUACUAAACAAACUCUCUGUUUCUUUCUCAAAAACUAAUAUCUUCAACUUCACCCCCCAAAAAAAAACUCCCAGAACAAAAAAAAAAGAGAAGAGAAUUAUAUAUGGGAGGGUAAGGGUUCAAAACGAAGUGAGAAAAGGGCCCCCACCCCUUUUCAGGCCCACAAAAAUUUGAAUUUUCAAAGCUUCAAAUCCUAUCAAAAGAUCGAAUAUUCCUUCAAUUCUAAAAUUUUGACCGAAUUCCCAGCGAGGUGGAGGGACAAGAUUUAUUCUUUGUACUGGGCAGGCGAUGUGGAGUUAUCUCGCUUUUGCAAAGAUGAAAGUGUCUCGCAUUGCUGCUGAAAAAUCGUACGAGUGAGGGAAACGUUGAGGAAAUAAGAGAAAGUUUGCAGUUUACGCUCACUGCUCCUCUCUGCUUUUGCUUUCUAUGUGAAUUCCGUCAAUUUGGGAACGUUGGAGGGUUGUCAUUUGCUCCUAUGGCUGAUGUCGUUUGGAGAAGCUAUGAAGACGCUGUGUAUCACCGCUUGAAGGAGAUGUUUGGG
rnacentral:lncRNA from 1 species